rnacentral:snRNA from 12 species
UAACUUACCCGACGCUGGGGUCAGGGUGAUCAGCAAAGCUCUGACUCCAGGUGACGACUCAGUAUUGCACUGCGCUGUGCUGAAGCCUGCAACGAACUCUCGUUGGGUUCGAUUGGAUGCAUAGUUUUUGCUGGUAGGAAGGCCUUUGGGCGUCCCUUUG